UACGGAGGGUGCAAACGUUGCUCGGAAUCACUGGGCGUAAAGCGCACGUAGGCGGCUCGACAAGUCGGAUGUGAAAGCCCUGGGCUCAACCUAGGAAGUGCAUUCGAAACUGCCGAGCUUGAGUACGGGAGAGGGUUGCGGAAUUCCCGGUGUAGAGGUGAAAUUCGUAGAUAUCUGGAGGAACACCGGUGGCGAAGGCGGCAUCCUGGACCGGCAUUGACGCUGAGGCGCGAAAGCUAGGGGAGCAAACGGG
rnacentral:rRNA from 1 species